UACCGAGUUUACAACUCCCAAACCCCUGUGAACAUACCAAUUGUUGCCUCGGCGGAUCAGCCCGCUCCCGGUAAAACGGGACGGCCCGCCAGAGGACCCCUAAACUCUGUUUCUAUAUGUAACUUCUGAGUAAAACCAUAAAUAAAUCAAAACUUUCAACAACGGAUCUCUUGGUUCUGGCAUCGAUGAAGAACGCAGCAAAAUGCGAUAAGUAAUGUGAAUUGCAGAAUUCAGUGAAUCAUCGAAUCUUUGAACGCACAUUGCGCCCGCCAGUAUUCUGGCGGGCAUGCCUGUUCGAGCGUCAUUUCAACCCUCAAGCCCAGCUUGGUGUUGGGACUCGCGAGUCAAAUCGCGUUCCCCAAAUUGAUUGGCGGUCACGUCGAGCUUCCAUAGCGUAGUAGUAAAACCCUCGUUACUGGUAAUCGUCGCGGCCACGCCGUUAAACCCCAACUUCUGAAUGUUGACCUCGGAUCAGGUAGGAAUAC
rnacentral:rRNA from 1 species